rnacentral:rRNA from 1 species
UACAGAGGGGGCAAGCGUUGUUCGGAAUUAUUGGGCGUAAAGCGCGUGUAGGCGGUGACACAUGUCGGGUGUGAAAGCCCUCGGCUCAACCGGGGAAGUGCGCCCGAAACUGUGUCGCUGGAGUGCCGGAGAGGGUGGCGGAAUUCCCGGUGUAGAGGUGAAAUUCGUAGAUAUCGGGAGGAACACCAGUGGCGAAGGCGGCCACCUGGACGGACACUGACGCUGAGACGCGAAAGCGUGGGUAGCAAACAGG